rnacentral:rRNA from 1 species
UACGUAGGGUGCAAGCGUUAAUCGGAAUUACUGGGCGUAAAGCGUGCGCAGGCGGUUAUGUAAGACAGGUGUGAAAUCCCCGGGCUCAACCCGGGAACUGCGUCCGAUACUGGAAGGCUUGAAUCCGGGAGAGGGAUGCGGAAUUCCAGGUGUAGCGGUGGAAUGCGUAGAGAUCCGGAAGAACACCGGUGGCGAAGGCGGCCUGCUGGGCAGUGGCUGACACUGAGGCGCGACAGCGUGGGGAGCAAACAGG